rnacentral:rRNA from 1 species
UACGUAGGGUGCAAGCGUUGUCCGGAAUUACUGGGCGUAAAGCGUGCGCAGGCGGUUUUGUAAGUUUGUCGUGAAAUCCCCGGGCUUAACCUGGGAAUUGCGAUGAAGACUGCAAGGCUAGAAUCUGGCAGAGGGGGGUAGAAUUCCACGUGUAGCAGUGAAAUGCGUAGAGAUGUGGAGGAACACCGAUGGCGAAGGCAGCCCCCUGGGUCAAGAUUGACGCUCAUGCACGAAAGCGUGGGGAGCAAACAGG